GACGAACGCUGGCGGCGGGCUUAACACAUGCAAGUCGAACGGAAAGGCCCUGCUUUUGUGGGGUGCUCGAGUGGCGAACGGGUGAGUAACACGUGAGUAACCUGCCCUUGACUUUGGGAUAACUUCAGGAAACUGGGGCUAAUACCGGAUAGGAGCUCCUGCUGCAUGGUGGGGGUUGGAAAGUUUCGGCGGUUGGGGAUGGACUCGCGGCGUAUCAGCUUGUUGGUGGGGUAGUGGCUUACCAAGGCUUUGACGGGUAGCCGGCCUGAGAGGGUGACCGGCCACAUUGGGACUGAGAUACGGCCCAGACUCCUACGGGAGGCAGCAGUGGGGAAUAUUGCACGAUGGGCGGAAGCCUGAUGCAGCAACGCCGCGUGCGGGAUGACGGCCUUCGGGUUGUAAACCGCUUUCGCCUGUGACGAAGCGUGAGUGACGGUAAUGGGUAAAGAAGCACCGGCUAACUACGUG
rnacentral:rRNA from 1 species